UGAAGGCGAGGUUGUACCAUGGGCUGCAGUAGCUUGACAAUAUGCAACGACUGUGUUACAGACGUGCCUCGCGAUAGGCUGUCCUACGAUGGGACUCCAAUUUGCCACCCGCCAAGACUGUUCUGCAGAGGCAUGACAGGGUGGAGAGAUGUUUUGAUCUGUGAAGAUAGACUACCGACGUGGCGGCUUCUCUAAAGACCUUUCUUCAGGAGAACAUCACUGCGGUUCUCUGUGAAAAGUACCCCAGACCCAAAGAUACUCUUUUCUCUGUACCUGGCCUGAACUAUGUAGGACUUGUCGAUUCACAUGUUAAAUAUCAAAGUGUUGGUCAGCCUAUGUAGAGUCGAACACAGACAAAAGAGAGGGCUCCGUUAAUGAUUAACUGUUCUAAAAGCCCCGGCUUUUGUAUUCCCAUGGUGCCCGGGCUAUCUGGAGGCCAUGUGACAAGCUCGCAGCGUUUUUCGAGCAGAUUGGGGGAAAGCUAGUGAGCAAACACAGGUGCCUUGGACUGGCGUCGCUGCCUAUGCUGUCAGGGACAACCACAAACAAGGGCAGCUAUGCCUGGCUAAAAGAGACCCCAAGCCCCCCUCGUUGGCUAUCUGGCUAGUUAGCAUGUUAGCUCACUAUCUUAUACACAAUGCGGUGACUGAGACCCCUCCCCCCCCCCCCCCCCCCCCUUAUCCAAUGUCCUCCGGCCGUGCUCCACGACUUCUCACACUCUCCACAGAAACAAACAAAUAAAAGUGAGGACUGGAGAACCACUUCUUUUAGGUGGUGGCAUUUGCAGAGGUUGUGAGUAGUGGGAGAGCAAACAAAUUAAUGGUGUUCAAGUUUUCACUUUCAAAACCAAAUGUCUUUUUGCUAAGUGGGGCAAUUGCAGUGACCUUGGUGUCAAACAUUGUAAAGGUUGCAAACACCCUGGCUCUCAACAACCCUGAACAUCGAUCAAUUGUUAAAUUAAGGCUUUCAAGGUAAGUAAAAAUAUAGGUUAGUGUUAGGGUUUUUAAAUGAGUCUGUAAAAUGUGUUUUCAUUUUUUGAUUGCAUUGUUCCACUAAUUUGUGAUUUCACAACCAAUCAAUUUUUUAUGCAUUUUUGUUCAUAGUGAAACCGUUUAUUUGAUGAUAAUUGAUAAAAGUGAUUGUUUGUUGAUAAUGUUUAUUU